rnacentral:lncRNA from 1 species
GGAGUAUAUCGUAACCAGAUAAACAUAAGAGAGUAUAUAUAUAUGUAUGAGUAUCGUGUUACAUGAGCAUGAGAGAGUGAAAAUAAGUAACUUUUAAUAGAGAUCCACUAGCAACAUCUACAACUUGGGUCACGAGGAUGGGAAUUACCCUUUUGGAAACUAUAAUAGUAACUAGUAUUAGAUCCAACGAAUGAUACUCAAUCACACCGCCAAGAAAAAUCAGCGUACACACGAUGAAUAUCUAGAUGUGCUUAUUACACACAAACCUAAAACGGGAUAAUUAAUCAUAGAUCUCAUACAG